rnacentral:rRNA from 1 species
AGUGAACGCUGGCGGUAGGCCUAACACAUGCAAGUCGAACGGCAGCACAGUAAGAGCUUGCUCUUACGGGUGGCGAGUGGCGGACGGGUGAGGAAUACAUCGGAAUCUUCUCUUUCGUGGGGGAUAACGUAGGGAAACUUACGCUAAUACCGCAUACGACCUACGAGUGAAAGCAGGGGAUCUUCGGACCUUGCGCGAUUGAAUGAGCCGAUGUCGGAUUAGCUAGUUGGCGGGGUAAAGGCCCACCAAGGCGACGAUCCGUAGCUGGUCCGAGAGGAUGGUCGGCCACACGGGAGGUGAGCCAGGCUCCAGACUCCUGCGGGAGGCAGCAGUCGGGAAUAUUGGGCAAGGGGGGCGAGCCUGAUACAGCCAUACGGCGUAGGUGAAGAAGGCCUUCGGGGUGUGAAGCCCUUUUGUUGGGAGAGAAAAGCGGCAGGUUGAUACGCCGCUGGACUGACGGUACCCGAAGAAUAAGCACCGGCUAACUUCGUG